GAAGCGGGAAGAGCUCAAAUUUGAAAUCUGGUGGCCUCAGGUCAUCCGAGUUGUAAUCUAUAGAAGUGUUUUCCGUGCUGGCCCAUGUACAAGUCCCUUGGAACAGGGCGUCAUAGAGGGUGAGAAUCCCGUCCUUGACAUGGACUACCAGUGCUCUGUGAUACACUUUCAACGAGUCGAGUUGUUUGGGAAUGCAGCUCAAAAUGGGUGGUAAAUUCCAUCUAAAGCUAAAUAUUGGCGAGAGACCGAUAGCGAACAAGUACCGUGAGGGAAAGAUGAAAAGCACUUUGGAAAGAGAGUUAAACAGUAUGUGAAAUUGUUGAAAGGGAAACGAUUGAAGUCAGUCGUGCUCAAUGGACUCAGCCGUUCUGCGGUGUAUUUCCAUUGGGUGGGGUCAACAUCAGUUUUGAUCGCUGGAUAAAGGCAGGAGGAAUGUAGCACCCCCGGGUGAACUUAUAGCCUCUUGUCACAUACAGUGGUUGGGACUGAGGAACGCAGCAUGCCUUUAUGGCCGGGAUUCGUCCACGUACAUGCUUAGGAUGUUGACAUAAUGGCUUUAAACGACCCGUCUUGAA
rnacentral:rRNA from 1 species